AUCUUUCAAGUGUCUGACUUAUCAACUUUAGACGGUACAUUAUAUGUCUACCGUGGUUGUAACGAGUACAGAGAAUCAGGGUUUUGGUUCUGGAGAGGCCGCCUGAGAAACGGCGACCACUUCCAAGGAAGGCAGCAGGCGCGCAAAUUACCCACUCUCAAAACGAGGAGGUAGUGAAGAGAAAUAACGAUGUUAGUCUUUUAUAGGCUGACAAUCGGAAUGGGAACACUGUAAACAGGUUAUCGAUUAACAAUUGGAGGGCAAGUCUGGUGCCAGCAGCCGCGGUAAUUCCAGCUCCAAUAAGGAAAACUAAAGUUGCUGUGUUUAAAAAGCUCGUAGUUGAAUUUCGGGUAUUUGUUGCUAGCUGGUCUAACUGGCCAUGUUGGUUAACAGAUCCUCAUUUGCUGGACGGCUGGCGAUGAUCUUCAUCGAUUGUCGUCAGUUGCCAGCACGUUUACUUUGAGAAAAAUUAGAGUGCUAAAAGCAGGCUCACGCCUAUAUAUUG
rnacentral:rRNA from 1 species